rnacentral:rRNA from 1 species
AGCAGUAGCCACGGUAAUACAGAGGGUGCGAGCGUUAAUCGGAUUUACUGGGCGUAAAGCGUGCGUAGGCGGCUUUUUAAGUCGGAUGUGAAAUCCCUGAGCUUAACUUAGGAAUUGCAUUCGAUACUGGGAAGCUAGAGUAUGGGAGAGGAUGGUAGAAUUCCAGGUGUAGCGGUGAAAUGCGUAGAGAUCUGGAGGAAUACCGAUGGCGAAGGCAGCCAUCUGGCCUAAUACUGACGCUGAGGUACGAAAGCAUGGGGAGCAAACAGGAUUAGAUACCCCUGUAGUCCCUGUCUCUUUACA